rnacentral:rRNA from 1 species
AUUGCCCCAGUAACGGCGAGUGAAGCGGCAACAGCUCAAAUUUGAAAUCUGGCCCCGUUCCCGGGGUCCGAGUUGUACUUUGCAGAGGGUGCUUUGGCGUUGGUGGCGGUCUAAGUUCCUUGGAACAGGACAUCGCAGAGGGUGAGAAUCCCGUUUGUGGUCGCCUGCCUUCGCCGUGUAAAGCCCCUUCGACGAGUCGAGUUGUUUGGGAAUGCAGCUCUAAAUGGGAGGUAAAUUUCUUCUAAAGCUAAAUACUGGCCAGAGACCGAUAGCGCACAAGUAGAGUGAUCGAAAGAUGAAAAGCACUUUGGAAAGAGAGUCAAACAGCACGUGAAAUUGUUGAAAGGGAAGCGCUUGCCGCCAGACUUGCCCGUGGUUGCUCACCUUGGCUUCUGCCUUGGGCACUCUUCCGCGGGCGGGCCAGCAUCGGUUUGGGCGGUCGGAUAAAGGCCUCUGUCACGUAUCAUCCCUCGGGAUGACCUUAUAGGGGAGGCGACAUGCGACCAGCCCGGACCGAGGACCGCGCUUCGGCUAGGAUGCUGGCGUAAUGGCGGUAAGCGGCCCGUCUUGAAACACGGACCAAGGAGUCUAACAUCUAUGCGAGUGUUUGGGUGUCAAGCCCGAGCGCGCAAUGAAAGUGAACGGAGGUGGGAACCCCUCGCGGGGCGCACCAUCGACCGAUCCUGAUGUCUUCGGAUGGAUUUGAGUAAGAGCAUAGCUGUUGGGACCCGAAAGAUGGUGAACUAUGCUUGAAUAGGGUGAAGCCAGAGGAAACUCUGGUGGAGGCUCGC